GGGGGUAUAGCUCAGCCGGUUAGAGCAGGGGACUCAUAAUCCCUUGGUCCUGGGUUCAAGUCCCAGUGCCCCUACCA
rnacentral:tRNA from 2 species